rnacentral:rRNA from 1 species
CCUACGGGAGGCAGCAGUGAGGAAUAUUGGUCAAUGGACGAGAGUCUGAACCAGCCAAGUAGCGUGAAGGAUGACUGCCCUAUGGGUUGUAAACUUCUUUUAUAUGGGAAUAAAACGUUCCACGUGUGGGAUUUUGUAUGUACCAUAUGAAUAAGGAUCGGCUAACUCCGUGCCAGCAGCCGCGGUAAUACGGAGGAUCCGAGCGUUAUCCGGAUUUAUUGGGUUUAAAGGGAGCGUAGAUGGAUUGUUAAGUCAGUUGUGAAAGUUUGCGGCUCAACCGUAAAAUUGCAGUUGAAACUGGCAGUCUUGAGUACAGUAGAGGUAGGCGGAAUUCGUGGUGUAGCGGUGAAAUGCUUAGAUAUCACGAAGAACUCCGAUUGCGAAGGCAGUUCACUGGACUGCAACUGACACUGAGGCUCGAAAGUGUGGGUAUCAAACAGGAUUAGAUACCCUAGUAGUC